rnacentral:lncRNA from 1 species
UUUAGUAUAAUGCCUUGAGAACGUGUUUCCAACAAUUUCGCCCUUUUUGAUAAUGGCAAACUUUAAGCGGGAUAUGCAUAUUAAGCAAUUCACGAUUCAAGACAAGUAAAGAUAUGCAACAAGUAUGCAAUUAUUUCCCCCUCAACAUAUAAAUUCCCCCUCAAUUUAAUCUAAUAAAUAUUGAGAGUGCAUACCCGUUAUCUUCCC